rnacentral:rRNA from 1 species
GACGAACGCUGGCGGCGUGCCUAAUACAUGCAAGUAGAACGCUGAAGGAGGAGCUUGCUCUUCUGGAUGAGUUGCGAACGGGUGAGUAACGCGUAGGUAACCUGCCUGGUAGCGGGGGAUAACUAUUGGAAACGAUAGCUAAUACCGCAUAACAGUAGAUGUUGCAUGACAUUUACUUAAAAGGUGCAAUUGCAUCACUACCAGAUGGACCUGCGUUGUAUUAGCUAGUUGGUGGGGUAACGGCUCACCAAGGCGACGAUACAUAGCCGACCUGAGAGGGUGAUCGGCCACACUGGGACUGAGACACGGCCCAGACUCCUACGGGAGGCAGCAGUAGGGAAUCUUCGGCAAUGGACGGAAGUCUGACCGAGCAACGCCGGGUGAGUGAAGAAGGGUUUCGGAUCGUAAAGCUCUGUUGUAAGAGAAGAACGAGUGUGAGAGUGGAAAGUUCACACUGUGACGGUAUCUUACCAGAAAGGGACGGCUAACUACGUG